UACGAGGGGGGCAAAUGUUGUUCGGAAUCACUGGGCGUAAAGGGAGCGUAGGCGGGUUCUUAAGUUAGGUGUUUAAUCCCGGGCCCAACCCCGGACCGGCACUUAAACUGGAAUGUGAAUAGUGGAGAGGUUCGGUGGAAUUGGAGGUGUAGCGGUGGAAUGCGUAGAGAUCUCCAAGAACACCAGUUGCGAAGGCGGCCGACUGGACACAUAUUGACGCUGAGGCUCGAAAGCAUGGGGAGCAAACAGG
rnacentral:rRNA from 1 species